UCAGCUUGGACACAAGGACGUGUGGAUGCGGCCAGCACAGGCUGGUCACGAAGAGCACAGCAAGCAGAGUUUGUGUGGUUUGAGGUCGCUGUCCUGCGUGGGAGCGUCAGAAACCAGCCAGCUCAACCACAGGGCUAAUUUUGCUUUGUGCACAGACCUGGACAUGGUUGACAGUCGUGUCAGGAGAGAGGGCUCCCCUUUUGGUUAAAAAGCAGCCCGCUGCUCCCCAGCAGCUUCGCUGCCUGCCUACUGCCUCAUCUCGCUGUGCAGAGGCCGUGGCCAGGGUGGUGGAUACAGCUGGGACGGAUCAGCUCCUGUAGGCAGCGCGGCCGGCUGUCUUUUUCCGUUGUUCCUUCCCUUGAUCGGAAGGCAUUUGGAGCUAUUCUGUCUACGUGCUGACAUUUUGCAGGACUGUGGGACUGGAAACCUGUGUGCUCUGACUGCCCUUGUGUUUACACUGCAAACUGUCAGCAGAUUUCCCGCUGCCGACCUUCUGCGGGCACUGACAGAGGGAGAGUGCUGCCUGAGCCCAGGCGUGGGUGACUUGGCCUCCCAGCCUCGCUCAGCACCACAGCAAACACCAGCGCUUCAGCCACGGCCAGUGCUUUGGGGUCUGCAGAGGAGGUUCUCGGCACGGAGCGUCCCAGGCAGACACGUCUCUCUGCCCUGUGUUGCCUGCUCUGCUGUGCCUGCAUAGUUGUGAUCAGAGCCCAGCAGUUAACCAAGAAACCAAUAUGGAGCAGGAAUGGAAUCAGUUCCCUUAUAACAGCACUGUGCAGCUGUGAAUGUGCGUCCGCAGGAAGGGAUGGAGCUGCCUUUUCCAGCCUCAGCCUGGCUGUUGCUAGAGGGAGCAGAUUUGUUCAGACUGAGGCAACUACCUAAGUGACUGCAAUUACAUCAUUUGCAUACUGCCUGCCAGGAAGAAAAAGAACACAACAGUAAUUUAUAAGUGUGAUACUACAGUGUCUGGCACCUUUACAGCUAAAAAGGAUCUUCUUUAAGCCCUUUGUUGAAGCAACAUUAAAGGACAGAAGCCAGGAUUCAGAAAAAAUAUAUACUGAAUACUCAGCUCCCCAGUCUCUUUUAAACCAAAGGCUUCUGAUACUUCUGCAAAUCAAGACACUGGAUUAGGUGCAGGAAUAAAAAUUAUUAAGAAAAAAAAAGAAAGAAACUCUUUGUUCUUUAUUAUCUGUUCUAUAAAGGAAAAUGGCUGUA